AGGACGAACGUUGGCGGCGUGCCUAACACAUGCAAGUCGAACGUGGCUUAAGUUUACUUAAGUCUAGUGGCGGACGGCAGAGUAAUGCACAGGAACGUACCUCGAGGUGAGGGAUAGCCCUUCGAAAGAAGGGGUAAUACCACAUGUGCUCGCAAGAGCAAAGCCGCAAGGCGCCAUGAGAACGGCCUGUGUCCUAUCAGGUAGUUGGUGAGGUAAAGGCUCACCAAGCCUAUGACGGGUAGCUGGUCUGAGAGGAUGAUCAGCCUGAUCGGGACUGAGACACGGCCCGAACUCCUACGGGAGGCAGCAGUUGGGAAUUUUGCACAAUGGACGAAAGUCUGAUGCAGCGACGCCGCGUGGAGGAUGAAGGUCUUCGGAUCGUAAACUCCUUUACUUGGGAAUAAUUUAAUGAAGGUACCAAGUGAAUAAGCACCGGCUAACUCCGCGCCAGCAGCCGC
rnacentral:rRNA from 1 species